GUUCGUCCAGGCUGCCCUGCAAUAAAGAUCCUUAGUUUACAGUCUUUCCACUUCUUCCUGGUGGUGAGGAUGUAGGGGAGCAACAGCGUCAGACCUGAGAGAAGGAAACAUAAGGAGGAUCUGAUGUCUGUCCCGAUGAAUCCGUCACACUGUGAGAAAUGUACCAACCAGAAGGGAAGUGACACCUACCUCCAUCAUCAAACAGCCACCACACGUCAAUGGUGCCUUUAGGCUGUUUCUUUUUAAAUUGACCACUGGCCUCCA